rnacentral:tRNA from 1 species
AAGAGUAUCAUAUAAUGGUUAUUAUUUACGACUUCAAAUCGUAAAAUAGGGGUUCAAUUCCUCUUGCUCUUG